rnacentral:rRNA from 1 species
UACGUAGGGUGCGAGCGUUAAUCGGAAUUACUGGGCGUAAAGCGUGCGCAGGCGGUUCGCUAAGACCGAUGUGAAAUCCCCGGGCUUAACCUGGGAACUGCAUUGGUGACUGGCGAGCUGGAGUGUGGCAGAGGGGGGUAGAAUUCCACGUGUAGCAGUGAAAUGCGUAGAGAUGUGGAGGAAUACCGAUGGCGAAGGCAGCCCCCUGGGCUAACACUGACGCUCAUGCACGAAAGCGUGGGGAGCAAACAGG